rnacentral:rRNA from 1 species
AUGCUUAACACAUGCAAGUCGAACGGUAACAUGGGGAGCUUGCUCCCUGAUGACGAGUGGCGGACGGGUGAGUAACGCGUAGGAAUCUGCCCAGCCGUGGGGGACAACUCGAGGAAACUCGAGCUAAUACCGCAUACGCCCUACGGGGGAAAGCAGGGGAUCUUCGGACCUCGCGCGAUUGGAUGAGCCUGCGUUGGAUUAGCUAGUUGGUGGGGUAAAGGCCUACCAAGGCGACGAUCCAUAGCUGGUCUGAGAGGACGAUCAGCCACACUGGGACUGAGACACGGCCCAGACUCCUACGGGAGGCAGCAGUGGGGAAUAUUGGACAAUGGGCGAAAGCCUGAUCCAGCAAUGCCGCGUGUGUGAAGAAGGCCUGCGGGUUGUAAAGCACUUUCAGUCGGGAGGAAGAGAGGGUCGUUAAUAGCGACUCAGGAUGACGUAACCGACAGAAGAAGCACCGGCUAACUCCGUGCCAGCAGCCGCGGUAAUACGGAGGGUGCGAGCGUUAAUCGGAAUUACUGGGCGUAAAGGGCGCGUAGGCGGCGUGAUCAGUCAGAUGUGAAAGCCCUGGGCUUAACCUGGGAAUUGCAUUUGAUACUGUCAUGCUCGAGUUUGGUAGAGGGGAGUGGAAUUUCCGGUGUAGCGGUGAAAUGCGUAGAGAUCGGAAGGAACACCAGUGGCGAAGGCGACUCCCUGGACCAAAACUGACGCUGAGGUGCGAAAGCGUGGGUAGCAAACAGGAUUAGAUACCCUGGUAGUCCACGCUGUAAACGAUGAGAACUAGCCGUUGGACGCAUUACGCGUUUAGUGGCGCAGCUAACGCAUUAAGUUCUCCGCCUGGGGAGUACGGCCGCAAGGCUAAAACUCAAAUGAAUUGACGGGGGCCCGCACAAGCGGUGGAGCAUGUGGUUUAAUUCGAUGCAACGCGAAGAACCUUACCUGCCCUUG